UUAGAUAUACCACCACGGUUCCUAUUGAUUUAGAGCCGGGUAAAAGUAAGUUUUUUUUUGUUACAAAGAGGAAAAUGGGUAAAAGUAAGUUUCUUCGGUAUAUUGGAAAGAUAAAUUGCAUUAUUCAGAAGAGUUUAAUUUUGAUGCACCGACGGUGUAAAGUUUUUUUACACCGUCAACCAAUCAGAUUUCAAGGAUGUGAGCAAAUCUCUCUUUUCAUUUAAUUUCAUUAAUUGACAUGGCAUAUCCUUGAAAUCUGAUUGGUUGACGGUGUAAAAAAACUUUACACCGUCGGUGCAUCAAACUUUUUCUCUAUUCAGAAAUUGAUCAUUAAUUGGACCUCCCACACCGAACUCAUAUGUCUCUAACUCUUACCACUUGAGCUAUCAUUCGAGGACGACAAAAGUAAGUUUGAUAUAAGUAACUUUGAUAGAAUAAAGAAAAAAAUGGAUAUUAUUUUAAUAGAAUAAAGUUAAUUUUUUUUUUGGAAAUAACCUCUUGUCUAAAAAACCAUACAAUACACAAAAUAGUGUUAGUAUGGGCAUGCAGGACCAUAUCUUUAAUAUAAAAACUUGACAAUAGUUUUUCAAUUGAGGAGUUUCUUGGUGUGUAUAUGAUUACUGUUGGAAUUAAUGACAUUUCAAAUCAUUUAUUUAAGAAUAAUAAGCCUUAUAUUUGACCUCACCGUUUGGAUUGGAAUAGUUGAAACUUUCAAAGGGUUUUAAACUAUUUUAAUAUCAUUAAGAGGAGAUAUACGUUGGUAUUCCUCUUGUCCAGCUUUGAUGCCUCUAACUCCACCUUUAUUUGUAUUUUGAUGGUGGUAUAACGGUUGCAUGGCAGAGGGUGAUGAGGCUAUUCUAUAAAGAAUAAGGUGCCGCUAGGACUAUGUAUGAGAUAGAAAAAUAAAAAUAAAGAACUACUUCUUCUUUUUGUAAAUUCUGAGCACUGUUGUUGUAGAGACUCCAGCAUGUGUAGGUUCUGAGUGUACAGUGCCUUACAUGCGGCUGUGUUAACCUUGAAGAGCAAACCCGGUAAUGGAUUGCACCGGAGAUCUGCCAGAAUUUUUGCUUUCAAGGCAGUGGUUCGUCCACGUCGCAACAAUCUUCCUAAUAUUUCCAACAAUUUGAAAGCAAAAAUUAUUUUACUCUUGUUAGUGUCGUUGGCGUGCUGCUUGAAAGAUAUGUAUUUCUUUGUCUCUUUCAUAAAAUGAUUCAAAUGCUAAGAAUGAGAAGAUGAAAAUGCGUUUUAACUAAUUAUGUUCAUCUCCUUUGCUUUUUGUGUGACUGCUUCGACGGGUGGAAUCCAUGAAAGAGUGGUUUGUGAUGCUUGUAGGGAUUCUUCUCUUGGACAUGAAAACCUUGUCUUUUAAGUGAAGGGUGAGAAAGCUUAAAGGAGAGGAACUUCCACCCUUUCACCUGCGCUUGCAUGAGACUGGUGGUUUUCAAAAUUUGGGUCAAAGCCCAGCUGGAGUUGGCAAUAACGAUGCUUGCAAUAGAGAGAAAUACAUGUCAUACAUGUUGCAAAGAAAUUGAUUAAGAAUUGUUUGAUUUUCCUUGAGCAUGUAAGAGGAUAAAAGAGUUUUGUUGAUCUUCUUGCUAAAGGAUUGACCAAGAAAGUUGUCUUGGAUACGUCGAGGGGGAUGAGGCUUAAGCCUUGAUAAAGAGGAAAAUAUGGUGGAGACCCAUUUGUUGGUCAAACUAAGCCGUAUAAUUACUCUUAUGCAUUACAUUCUCAUCCCUAUGGCGCGAGGUAAUGCUGUUUUUGAAAGAGAUACAUAGCCAUUUGUGGUGGUGCUAUUGAGACGCACUUGAUGUAUGUAUGAUAAAAUGCUUUUGAGACGCACUUGACUUACUUUCAAAUAAGAUUAAAAAAUGAAGUUUAUUCACAA